AACGAACGCUGGCGGCAUGCCUAACACAUGCAAGUCGAACGAGACCUUCGGCUCUACUGGCUCACUGGUGCGUAACGCAUUGGAACCUGCCUUUAUAAUCCGAAUAACUCCUCGCAAGGGCUUCUAAUUCCGGCUAAUGUCCUCGGUCCAAUGCUUUAUCGCCUUUGGAUGGGCCCGCGUUGGAUUAGCUAGUUUGUAGGGUAAAAGCCUACCAAGUCGACGACCCAUAGCUGGUCUGAGAGGAUGAUCAGCCACACAGGGACUGAGACACGGCCCAGACUCCUACGGGAGGCAGAAGUGGGGAAUAUUGGACAAGGGGCGAAAGGCUGAUCCAGAAAUGCCGCGUGAGUGAUGAAGGCCUUAGGGUUGUAAAGCUCUUUUAGCCGGGAUGAUAAUGACAGUACCGGGAGAAUAAGCUCCGGCUAACUCCGUG
rnacentral:rRNA from 1 species